GACGAACGCUGGCGGCGUGCCUAACACAUGCAAGUCGAGCGAGUGAAUCUCCUUCGGGAGUGAAGCUAGCGGCGGACGGGUGAGUAACACGUGGGCAACCUGCCUCAUAGAGGGGAAUAGCCUUUCGAAAGGAAGAUUAAUACCGCAUAAGAUUGUAGCUUCGCAUGAAGUAGCAAUUAAAGGAGCAAUCCGCUAUGAGAUGGGCCCGCGGCGCAUUAGCUAGUUGGUGAGGUAACGGCUCACCAAGGCGACGAUGCGUAGCCGACCUGAGAGGGUGAUCGGCCACAUUGGGACUGAGACACGGCCCAGACUCCUACGGGAGGCAGCAGUGGGGAAUAUUGCACAAUGGGGGAAACCCUGAUGCAGCAACGCCGCGUGAGUGAUGACGGCCUUCGGGUUGUAAAGCUCUGUCUUCAGGGACGAUAAUGACGGUACCUGAGGAGGAAGCCACGGCUAACUACGUGCCAGCAGCCGCGGUAA
rnacentral:rRNA from 1 species